rnacentral:rRNA from 1 species
UUAAGCGACUAAGCGUACACGGUGGAUGCCCUGGCAGUCAGAGGCGAUGAAGGACGUGCUAAUCUGCGAAAAGCGUCGGUAAGGUGAUAUGAACCGUUAUAACCGGCGAUGUCCGAAUGGGGAAACCCAGUGCAAUUCGUUGCACUAUCGUUAACUGAAUACAUAGGUUAACGAGGCGAACCGGGGGAACUGAAACAUCUAAGUACCCCGAGGAAAAGAAAUCAACCGAGAUUCCCCCAGUAGCGGCGAGCGAACGGGGAGCAGCCCAGAGUCUGAAUCAGCUUGUGUGUUAGUGGAACGGUCUGGAAAGUCCGACGGUACAGGGUGAUAGUCCCGUACACCAAAAUGCACAGGCUGUGAACUCGAAGAGUAGGGCGGGACACGUGGUAUCCUGUCUGAAUAUGGGGGGACCAUCCUCCAAGGCUAAAUACUCCUGACUGACCGAUAGUGAACCAGUACCGUGAGGGAAAGGCGAAAAGAACCCCGGCGAGGGGAGUGAAAAAGAACCUGAAACCGUGUACGUACAAGCAGUGGGAGCACCUUCGGGUGUGACUGCGUACCUUUUGUAUAAUGGGUCAGCGACUUAUAUUCUGUAGCAAGGUUAACCGUAUAGGGGAGCCGCAGGGAAACCGAGUCUUAACUGGGCGUUAAGUUGCAGGGUAUAGACCCGAAACCCGGUGAUCUAGCCAUGGGCAGGUUGAAGGUUGGGUAACACUAACUGGAGGACCGAACCGACUAAUGUUGAAAAAUUAGCGGAUGACUUGUGGCUGGGGGUGAAAGGCCAAUCAAACCGGGAGAUAGCUGGUUCUCCCCGAAAGCUAUUUAGGUAGCGCCUCGUGAACUCAUCUUCGGGGGUAGAGCACUGUUUCGGCUAGGGGGUCAUCCCGACUUACCAACCCGAUGCAAACUACGAAUACCGAAGAAUGUUAUCACGGGAGACACACGGCGGGUGCUAACGUCCGUCGUGAAGAGGGAAACAACCCAGACCGCCAGCUAAGGUCCCAAAGUCAUGGUUAAGUGGGAAACGAUGUGGGAAGGCACAGACAGCCAGGAUGUUGGCUUAGAAGCAGCCAUCAUUUAAAGAAAGCGUAAUAGCUCACUGGUCGAGUCGGCCUGCGCGGAAGAUGUAACGGGGCUAAACCAUGCACCGAAGCUGCGGCAGCGACACUAUGUGUUGUUGGGUAGGGGAGCGUUCUGUAAGCCUGCGAAGGUGACCUGUGAGGGUUGCUGGAGGUAUCAGAAGUGCGAAUGCUGACAUAAGUAACGAUAAAGCGGGUGAAAAGCCCGCUCGCCGGAAGACCAAGGGUUCCUGUCCAACGUUAAUCGGGGCAGGGUGAGUCGACCCCUAAGGCGAGGCCGAAAGGCGUAGUCGAUGGGAAACAGGUUAAUAUUCCUGUACUUGGUGUUACUGCGAAGGGGGGACGGAGAAGGCUAUGUUAGCCGGGCGACGGUUGUCCCGGUUUAAGCAUGUAGGCUGAUUGUCCAGGCAAAUCCGGAUAAUCAAGGCUGAGGUGUGAUGACGAGGCACUACGGUGCUGAAGUAACAAAUGCCCUGCUUCCAGGAAAAGCCUCUAAGCAUCAGGUAACAUCAAAUCGUACCCCAAACCGACACAGGUGGUCAGGUAGAGAAUACCAAGGCGCUUGAGAGAACUCGGGUGAAGGAACUAGGCAAAAUGGUGCCGUAACUUCGGGAGAAGGCACGCUGGUGUGUAGGUGAAGUCCCUGCGGAUGGAGCUGAGACCAGUCGAAGAUACCAGCUGGCUGCAACUGUUUAUUAAAAACACAGCACUGUGCAAACACGAAAGUGGACGUAUACGGUGUGACGCCUGCCCGGUGCCGGAAGGUUAAUUGAUGGGGUUAUCCGUAAGGAGAAGCUCUUGAUCGAAGCCCGGUAAACGGCGGCCGUAACUAUAACGGUCCUAAGGUAGCGAAAUUCCUUGUCGGGUAAGUUCCGACCUGCACGAAUGGCGUAAUGAUGGCGGCUGUCUCCACCCGAGACUCAGUGAAAUUGAACUCGCUGUGAAGAUGCAGUGUACCCGCGGCAAGACGGAAAGACCCCGUGAACCUUUACUAUAGCUUGACACUGAACAUUGAGCCUUGAUGUGUAGGAUAGGUGGGAGGCUUUGAAGCGUGGACGCCAGUCUGCGUGGAGCCAACCUGAAAUACCACCCUUUAAUGUUUGAUGUUCUAACGUUGGCCCCUUACCGGGGUUGCGGACAGUGUCUGGUGGGUAGUUUGACUGGGGCGGUCUCCUCCCAAAGCGUAACGGAGGAGCACGAAGGUUAGCUAAUCUGGUCGGACAUCAGGAGGUUAGUGCAAUGGCAUAAGCUAGCUUGACUGCGAGCGUGACGGCGCGAGCAGGUGCGAAAGCAGGUCAUAGUGAUCCGGUGGUUCUGAAUGGAAGGGCCAUCGCUCAACGGAUAAAAGGUACUCCGGGGAUAACAGGCUGAUACCGCCCAAGAGUUCAUAUCGACGGCGGUGUUUGGCACCUCGAUGUCGGCUCAUCACAUCCUGGGGCUGAAGUAGGUCCCAAGGGUAUGGCUGUUCGCCAUUUAAAGUGGUACGCGAGCUGGGUUUAGAACGUCGUGAGACAGUUCGGUCCCUAUCUGCCGUGGGCGCUGGAGAAUUGAGGGGGGCUGCUCCUAGUACGAGAGGACCGGAGUGGACGCAUCACUGGUGUUCGGGUUGUCAUGCCAAUGGCACUGCCCGGUAGCUAAAUGCGGAAGAGAUAAGUGCUGAAAGCAUCUAAGCACGAAACUUGCCCCGAGAUGAGUUCUCCCUGAGACUUUAAGUCUCCUGAAGGAACGUUAAAGACGAUGACGUUGAUAGGCCGGGUGUGUAAGCGCAGCGAUGCGUUGAGCUAACCGGUACUAAUGAACCGUGAGGCUUAACCU